rnacentral:rRNA from 1 species
GGUAACCAUAGCAAGUUGGUCCCACCUGAUCCCAUUCCGAACUCAGUAGUGAAACGACUUAGCGCCGAUGGUAGUGUGGGGCUUCCCCAUGUGAGAGUAGGACAUUGCCAG